rfam:Pseudoalteromonas sp. A601 contig11, whole genome shotgun sequence.
UGGGCUAGAAGAGGUGCGUUAUUCAGGUAACGUAUGUGAGGAGCACACACUCCAAUGAUCAUACGUGAGGGGAAUUAACGCCGAGAAAUAACACUUUUUGUGAAGGGUUAUUUCGGGCGACUGGGUUGAAUCCCAGCGACUGUCACCAACAACAGCAAUGCUGUUGAUAUGUUUGGUGGAGAGCUUCUGGUCUU